rnacentral:lncRNA from 1 species
CUCUUGAAUUAUCUAGCUGGGCAACACCAUUACUCUCUAUUGCUGCAAGAUUCCGAUCCGAGGAAGGUGCGGUUGUGAUCGAACUCCUUCCAACUGGGAACUCAGUUUCAACUCGAGCACUGGACCACCCAGAAAGAACCUACAGGAAAAGUCUACUCUCUUCGAAGAUUCUUCGGUGGAGGACUCUUCGAUAUUUAAGUCAGUAAGAGUUGAGAAUAGUAGAGUAAAGAGAGAGAAAGAAUAAGAAUAUGGGUUAUUUUUUUAAGUUGAACUUAUCGGAAGGUCUUUUUGUUAUCUUUUUAUAUAGAGAUGGAAUCAUAGGUUGUCAUGUCUGAAUCCGAUAGGCUGUUAGGCCUAGCUUCUUAAGUUGUUAGGCUUUGAUUUGAUAGAAUAUUAGGAUAAAAAAUCCAUCCAUGAAUCUAGAUUGUUAAUCAUGGAUAUCAGUUAUUGGUUUUGAUCACAUUCUGAAAGUUAUUGGGAGAUUUCAAUGAAUAACCCACGUAACUGAAUAAGUUGGUGGCUUAAGAUCGAUACAAAGCUGGAGUUCCAUAUCAGUGCCCAUGCUUGAGAUUUUAGGGCAUCAUCACCUCUUCUACCAUUCAUGGGGUCUCGUUAACUGUCCUCGAUAAGAUCUCGACCAUGAGGUCGAUAGAUAUCCAAGUCAGAGAUCGGACAAAAGUGGAUGACAUAAAGUGGCUCCAUUUUGAUUUUUUGGGUUUCUUCCUAGCAUUCAAAGUGGUCUAGUUGAAUCAUCGACUAGUGCUCAGUUGUAAUCUAGGUGAGAAAGAUCGGUUCACAUGGUGGAUAACCUCUACAAUACUCCUUUAUAAAUUGAGGGAGCAGAGGGUAGAGAAUCUAAGAUAAAUCUCAAGUCCCCAUUAAAAAAUUUUUAUCAUUUUUUUUCUAUUCUUCAACAAUCUACUGUUCUCCAU